UUUUCCUUUAAUACAGUCCAGAGAGGCUGAAAAGGGCUACGUGAUAUUUUAGGUUAAUAAUAUCUAUGUCUUCGCAUGCCCUUUUUGCCCUCUGUGCAAGAAGGGCUUUUUAUU
rfam:Paenibacillus sp. DMB20 gs_4, whole genome shotgun sequence.